AUUGCCUCAGUAACGGCGAGUGAAGCGGCAAAAGCUCAAAUUUGAAAUCUGGCUCUUUCAGGGUCCGAGUUGUAAUUUGCAGAAGAUGCUUUGGGUGUGGCGCUGGUUUAAGUUCUUUGGAAUAUUACAUCAUAGAGGGUGAGAAUCCCGUAUGUGACCUGCCGCCGCGCCCGUGUAAAGCUCUUUCAACGAGUCGAGUUGUUUGGGAAUGCAGCUCUAAAUGGGAGGUAUAUUUCUUCUAAAGCUAAAUACUGGCCAGAGACCGAUAGCGCACAAGUAGAGUGAUCGAAAGAUGAAAAGCACUUUGGAAAGAGAGUUAAACAGUACGUGAAAUUGUUGAAGGGGAAGCGCUUGCCCCCAGACGCGGGCGCCGUCGAUCAACCGGGGUUYUGCCCCGGGGCMCUYGGCGSCCGUUCGGGCCAGCAUCGCUUUUGGUGGUUGGAUAAAGGCCCCAGGAAUGUAGCUUCUUUCGGGGAGUGUUAUAGCCUGGGGUGCAAUGCAGCCUACCGGGAGCGAGGACCGCGCAUUUCGUGCUAGGAUGCUGGCGUAAUGGGGGUAAGCGGCCCGUCUUGAAACACGGACCAAGGAGUCUAACAUCUAUGCGAGUGUUUGGGUGUCAAACCCAUACGCGAAAUGAAAGUGAACGGAGGUGAGAACCCGCAAGGGUGCAUCAUCGACCGGUCCUGAUGUCUUCGGAUGGAUCUGAGUAARAGCAUAGCUGUUGGGACCCGAAAGAUGGUGAACUAUGCGUGAAUAGGGUGAAGCCAGAGGAAACUCUGGUGGAGSCUUCGCAGCGGGUUCUGACGUGCAAAUCGAUCGUCAAAUUUGCGCAUAAGGGGCGAAAGACUUAUCGAACCAUCUAGUAGCUGGUUCCCUGCCGARGUUUCCCUCCAGGAAUAGCAGKGUUGAAUUCAGKUUUAUGAGGUAAAGCGAAUGAUUAGAAAGGCCUUGGGGUUGAAACAACCUUAACCUAUUCUCAAACUUUAAAUAUGUAAGAAGUCCUUGUUGCUUAAUUGAACGUGGACAUUCGAAUGUAACAACACUAGUGGGCCAUUUUUGGUAAGCAGAACUGGCGAUGCGGGAUGAACCGAACGUGAAGUUAAGGUGCCGGAAUAUACGCUCAUCAGACACCACAAAAGGUGUUAGUUCAUCUAGACAGCAGGACGGUGGCCAUGGAAGUCGGAAUCCGCUAAGGAGUGUGUAACAACUCACCUGCCGAAUGAACUAGCCCUGAAAAUGGAUGGCGCUUAAGCGUAUUACCCACACUUCACCCAUAGGGUAGAAACGAUGCCCUAUGGAGUAGGCAGGCGUGGAGGUCAGUGACGAAG
rnacentral:rRNA from 1 species